UAGUGAACUACAAUGCCUCCCAAUUUACAGAUAAGAUACAAGGUGACACAACAUUUAUUGCCGCGCUGCAGCAUUAUUCUAUGUAGCCUUCAAGCAUUUGAGUCAUACAAGUAUAUAAUGUAUGCCAAGCCACUAGAAUUAACACGACUUUAGGAGUAGUAGAACAAUCACAGUCACCAACUGAACACCCAAAAUAACUAAUGAAGAUGACACCACAAAUCCGAAGCAGCGGCUAUCAAAAGCAGCAUUCCUCCAGUAUACAGCAGCAGCAAAGAGCAGCCAUACAUCCCUUUAGAAAAGGGAAGCAACAGCAAUCAUCAUCAUGGCUGUGGUGGCAGUGAUCGUAUUCUGGCCGCGGCGGCGGCCGUGGCGGUGCCGGGUACCCAUCAUUGAAGUAGUCCUGAUACCCAUGAGGAGGAGGAGGCGGAGGCGGGUACCCCCCAGGGGGUGGAGGUGGGUAAGGAGACCCAUAUGGUGGCUGAGAUGGGGGGUAAUCACCAUGAGCAUACCCUGGUGGUGGAGGGUAUUGAGGAUUGGGAUAGCCUGGUGGGGGGUAGGGUUGCUGGUAGCUCAUGGUUUGCUCUGAUUGAUCUUGGAGGAUUUGGG
rnacentral:misc_RNA from 1 species